UACGUAGGGUGCAAGCGUUAAUCGGAAUCACUGGGCGUAAAGGGUGCGUAGGCGGCUUGGUGGGUCUGGUGUGAAAGCCCCGGGCUCAACCUGGGAAUGGCGAUGGAGACUGCAAGGCUAGAGUUUGGCAGAGGGGGGUAGAAUUCCACGUGUAGCAGUGAAAUGCGUAGAUAUGUGGAGGAACACCGAUGGCGAAGGCAGCCCCCUGGGUCAAGACUGACGCUCAUGCACGAAAGCGUGGGGAGCAAACAGG
rnacentral:rRNA from 1 species